AUUGAACGCUGGCGGCAGGCCUAACACAUGCAAGUCGAACGAGUGGCGGACGGGUGAGUAAUGUCUGGGAAACUACCUUAUGGAGGGGGAUAACUACGGGAAACGGUAGCUAAUACCGCAUACCAUCGGAUGAGCCCAGAUGGGAUUAGCGAGUUGGUGGGGUAACGGCUCACCUAGCCGACGAUCCCUAGCUGGUCUGAGAGGAUGACCAGCCAAACUGGAACUGAGACACGGUCCAGACUCCUACGGGAGGCAGCAGUGGGGAAGAUUGCGCAAUGGGGGCAAGCCUGAUGCAGCCAUGCCGCGUGAAUGAAGAAGGCCUUCGGGUUGUAAAGUUCUUUCAGCAGGGAGGCGUUAACCGCAGAAGAAGCACCGACUAACUCCGUGCCAGCAGCCGCGGUAAUUC
rnacentral:rRNA from 1 species